UACGGGGGGGGCAAGCGUUGUUCGGAAUUACUGGGCGUAAAGGGCUCGUAGGCGGCCAACUAAGUCGGACGUGAAAUCCCCAGGCUCAACCUGGGAACUGCGUCUGAUACUGGAUGGCUUGAAUCCGGGAGAGGGAUGCAGAAUUCCAGGUGUAGCGGUGAAAUGCGCAGAUAUCGGGAGGAACACCGAUGGCGAAGGCAGCUCGCUGGGACGUUACUGACGCUGAGGCGCGAAAGCGUGGGGAGCAAACAGG
rnacentral:rRNA from 1 species